rnacentral:rRNA from 1 species
UGAGUAACCUGCCCUUAACUCUGGGAUAAGCCUGGGAAACUGGGUCUAAUACCGGAUAUGACUCCUCAUCGCAUGGUGGGGGGUGGAAAGCUUUAUUGUGGUUUUGGAUGGACUCGCGGCCUAUCAGCUUGUUGGUGAGGUAAUGGCUCACCAAGGCGACGACGGGUAGCCGGCC